UCUUUCUUUUCUCCACAAUUAGCCAUUCGUUCGAGUAGAAUGUGUAGGGGGAAAUCCCUGAUGGGCGAUCGACUUUUCCGAAUCUUUUUAAAUUGAGUUUCACGUGAUCUCGUUUGGUCACCUAUUUUGUUGUUGUCUGUUGUCUGAUUCUGUUGCAGCAAUGGAUAUUUUUUAAAUUUGGCGGGGAGAAUGGAUGGCAGAGCAGAACAAGAAUCAUAAAUUUUAUCUGGCAGCGGUGCCGAUGGCUGCUCGAAUAAAACCGGUAAAAUCACAACGACAAAAAAAUGUGCAAAACAAAAUGUCUAAUCGUGUCUCGUCAUACUGGCAGUUUGUGAUAAAAACAAAGUGUUUGUGAAACACGAUAUUAAAGAUGUGAUACCUGAGCCAAUAUCAACACCAGCAUCUAUCUACGUUAGCCACUAAGGCCAGUUUUGCUAGUGUCUGUAGCAAUUGCCAUCAGCAGCUGCCUCAGAUCCCUCAAUUGGGUGAACCUUAUUUGAUGUUGUGUCCACUGUUGUUGGCCGACUCAUCCCUUCCUCACCUUUCUUUACAUUCUCGUGUACGUUCAUGUGAGUGUGAACGUAUUCACGAGGAUGACCUUCCUC